rnacentral:tRNA from 1 species
CAGGGAGACAACAAAGUGUUUAAUAUUAUUAUUUUGUCACCUUAGGUCGAUCGGUAUCUCAUGUUCUUAAUUUAUUAAGAAUUUCAUUUCCUAAGUUUUUCUAGGUCACACCCAUUAUUUUUCCUGGGCCAUUAGCUCAGGUGGUUAGAGCGCACCCCUGAUAAGGGUGAGGUCCCUGGUUCAAGUCCAGGAUGGCCCAUAUCUCUAUGUUGGGGGUAUAGCUCAGUUGGUAGAGCGCCUGCUUUGCAAGCAGGAUGUCAGCGGUUCGAGUCCGCUUACCUCCACUGAUUACCACCUCUUCCAUAACCGGUAGAAAGGAAAUGUUUUGAGUUGUGAUUAUCAUUCUGAACGAAUCUAGCUUCCUAAUGAAAUCAUUAAGAUGCUGGACUCAUUGAAUUAAUUUCAUUGUUUUCAGAGAACCUUGACAACUGCAUAGAUUAUUUUUAAAGACAAUAAGCAUCUUUAAUGAUGCAGAUUUAUUAUUUGUGCGAAUGCAUUAAUAACAAUUCUAUUAAGCUGAUGCUUCAAUUUUUGAAGUUAUU